GGGUUAGACAGUACAGAGACGGGUCAUUGAGGAGCAGGUAGGUGUUAGACUACAGAGACAGGUCAUUAAGGAGCAGGUAGGGGUUGGGGGUUAAUCUUGCUCUAGAAUGCCUAAAGGUUAAUAUAUGGACAUUGGGGAUCUAACCCAGAACCUUUUGGCUGAGAGUCAAACACCCUCACCACUAGUUGUUUAUUUCCGUGCGUUAUCGGGAACGUACCCGGACCUAUGGUAACUAUUGUUGAGAAACAGUGUUGCCAUAGAAAUGUUUUGCAGUUGACGUAAUCUAAUAUCAACUUGAAGAUUGAACGAAAGUGUGUUAGAAUAGCUCUGGCUUCCUUCCUUCUUCGCGCUCUCUCCCCACUGGGCGAGCUGCCAGGUCACCGUGAUGCAGUCUUUCUCAACAUCCUUUAUUCAUAAAAGCUGAAGCUUCCUCCUUUGUCUUCUCUGGUGGCCAUCGCCCCUGCACUAGACUCUCAGCGCUGACGCUAACAGAGCUGACGCUAACAGAGCUGACGCUAACAGAACUGACGCUAACAGAGCUGACGCUAACAGAACUGACGCUAAAAGAGCCGACGCUAACCGAGCUAAUGAUAAACCGAGCUGACGCUAACCGAGCUAAUGAUAAACAGAGCUGACGCUAACAGAGCUGACGCUAA